GAAAUACUCGUACAUGUGCCACUGCUGCGCCCACGCAUACGUAGCGUCUGCGGCGUGUCACUCGUUUCGCUUCUCCGUGUGGGUGUGUGAGUGCGUGUGGGUGCAGUGUGGCGAGUCGCGCAGCCCCUCCUGCUGGUGCCCCCGUGGCGGUGUUGGUGGAGGCGCACGCCUCAACGCUCGUCGCUUUUUUUUUUCGUUUCUUUCGUUUCCUUUCCUUUCUGGCUCCACAGCGUCGACGUGCGCCUGCCGGUGGCCACACACGGUGGCACUUCUUGCUCUCCUCAUGACGCGCACGCCCGUGCAGAUAGACGCGCAGCCACACUCGUUCCGUUCCAUUCAUAAAAGAUAAGUUCGCUCCGAAUCGCUUGUCCGGUAGCCAAAGGCUGUCGCGCCCUCAUCCAUGGUUGGUGGUCCACGGAAGGUGCGACACGCUCCCGCGUGCACAACAUCGGCGCCGGCACAGCCCUCGUCGAUGACCACUGAAGAUAGAACGCAGAAUCUAGGGAAGCGCACCUUAGAUGAACCGAACGCGGCGCCGAGGCAGCUCAGAGGCAGAGGCCGCGGUCGCUGCGCAGCGGCCCCCUCGGUGCAUGCGAGCGCAGUAUUCACCGUUGACCACGGAAGCGAAGUGAGUGCCACGGUACGCAUGGAUGCAACGCGGAAGGCUGACAUUGAUUUCGUAACUGAAAGCGUAUACAGCUGCGGCAGUAGUGACAGCUCUGAUUUUUCGAUUUCGCAUCGUGGAAAAGAGGGUCCCGCCGAGAUAGUUGUCGAGGAUGCCAGUUUCGGGCUGACUAGCACGCUACCCCGCAAGUUUGUGUCGACGCCGCCAGCGGAGACAACAGCAGCAGCGUCUCGCACUUUGGACGGCGUUGUGGUCAUCGCAUCAGACUCGCCGCCACCACCGCGGAGGCGACGAGGCGGAGGCCAAAGUCACCACAAAGGCCGUGAGCGAAGCGAACGGACGCUGCGGAGUGUGACGUGUGUGUCUGACGAGGAGGACAUAGGGGCGUCGCAGUGCUGCCGCGAGCGAGCCACGUCACCUCCAUCGACUGCAUCAGCGGGGCGCAUCAGUGCUAGUACCCGCCGCCUUCCCACGUUCGAGCCCACAAUGCCAUCACGGGUACUGUGCGAUGAUGACGACGGCGAUGCAGAUGACCGGGAAGGUUUGCCAGUGCGGCAGCAGCAUCCGCAGCAUGGAGCAGAUCUCACGGUACACCGCUACAGCUGCUGCUUUUCCUCAUUGGGCUCGUCGCCCACUCGCAGCUCCGUCAGUCCGGCCCUCCCUGCAGCCACAGACGCAGCUGAGGCGAAGCAGCACUCGUGCGACAGCGACGAUCCCGACAAAGGCCCGGGGCCGCACUUUCUUUGCGCCGCGCCCAUCCUGCAGGCGUCAGGGCUGAGAGACUUUUUCACCUACGGCGUACAGGCAGCGAUGCGCCACUACUCUGAGCACCUCAACGGUGCUACCGGCGCAGAGGAGGAUGGCGCAUGCAGCGAGAUGAAUGACAGUGCCGGGACCCUAUGCCUUGACCAUGUUGCCAACCCCACAACGCUACCGGCCUCAGUGUAUCGCACGCGCCAACACAGUACAGCGUCACAGCACCGCAAUGAAUUUCUGGAGGACAUCUCUAACGGGCAGAAGUACGAUGCCAACACCGCCCGCAAGCGCGCCAGGGCCUACUCGUGCAGCAGCAGGAGCAGCGCUGCCACAUACGACAGCGACGUUGAAGGAAGUAGCUCGCUCUCCCCCCGGGACGACACGGGCACGCGUAGAGGGAAGGUGUGCCUACUUAAUCCUCAACAGACUUCGCUUUUUCGAGCCCCUCAUGGUGCGACGGCGGCACGCUACCCGCCCGAACACGGGGCGAUGGCGAACGGCUCGUGGCUCACUACCACCGCGACGACGUCUUCGCCGACCACCUUGCAGAAGUCGUCACUAGUGUCGUCUGGCUCGACGCAGGGAGUGGAUCAGCAACGCGAGAACAGUGCACAAGCGCGCUUCCGCGAGGCGCUGCGGCACGCCUACCAGUGCGAGGAUGCACACAGGCAGCGGCGACGUGCACAGCUGGACAAGCAGCAGGAACAGCUCUUACGCGGCGUGGAGCUUCUUCAGGGUGCAUCUUUCUCCUCGAGCGCUGCGCUUCUUGCUGAGCUGCUGCCCUCGCGUGGGCGUGACGGUCGCCGUAGUGCUGGCUCGGUCAAGUCCCCUAUCUCGCUCCAGCCACCGCAACCACAACUCGGUGCGUCACCUCUAUCGCUGCUCGCGACAUCUGUCGAGGCGGCUGUGGAGACAGGCACAGAGACGAUCGCGCAACAAGGCCGCGCCGGCGGCGCUUCGACGUCUUUGGCAGCCGAAGCAUGCUUGUCUUCGUCGUCAAAGGUAACGGCAACGCCACAGAUGGGUAACAUCUCCAAACGCCUUCUCCAGGUCAUGUCCCCAGCCCAGGCGCAGAGGCUUCGCAGGCCGCUAAACCCCUUCAUCGAGGCACUCCUUCGCCAUUACCAGAGCGUGCAGCUGAAGCAACGUGCUGCGCGGCACGCAGAAGACCAGGCCAUCCACGCCAGGCGCACGUACGAGCUACCUGUGCUCACAGAGGACGUUGUCCGCUACGCCGCGUUGCUUCUCUGCUUGCGCCGCCACAGAACCGGUGGCGGCAGCACGGCAGUAACACGUGCAGCAUGCGCAGGGGGGUCUGGCUUGUUGCAGUCAGGGCCAGCCAGCAAAGAGCCCAGCAGCUCAACCUCAAAUGCAGAGCCACAACCGCCCCCGACUCUGGCGGCUGCUGAGCCCGCUGCAGCGCUCCCGUUUGGGGAGGAAGGCACAUUAUUGUACCUCAAGUACCCUCCCCCGCUGCUGCGCACGACGUCUUUUGCGGUGGAAACGGUGCGACUGUUGAAGUGGCUGCGCACGUGGAAAAAGAGCAGCCCUAGCAUAGCGGGUGAGACGGGAGGCAUCGCUGGUGGUGGUAGCAGCGCUAGCGUUGGCGGCGUGAGCGAGGGCGGUAGCAGCAGCAGCAGCAGGAGUCGGAGCAGGAUCGGUCGCAAGCGCGUGCGAACUGACGUGGUCAAGCUCAACAGUCGCAACGGCAACGUCGACAGCGGCGAUGACGGCGACGAUAGCGAUGAUGACGGAGGAGUGGUGGUAGUGGCCAGUCCGACCCCAGCACCUCACAGAGCAGCCAGCAGCAGCACCACUGCCGAGGCGCCUCCGCCCAACCGAUCGACAGUGGAGCGCGUCAGUCAGCAGGCACAGCACGCCGUUGAGAUUCAAGAGGCACAGCUGAAACAAGAGAGGCGCUCAGCCUUUCUCAAGUUCUUUGGAGCGGCGGCAACCCCGCCGCCCACAAACGGUGCCGAGCGGAAUGCGAAGGCGGCGCAGGACCACGACGAUGGAAAAGAUGCUGCUAAGGAAGUUGUUUCGCAAAAGCCGGUCUCCUGUUUAGGCAUGAGCGAGCCCGCUGGCAGCAACACAGGGAUGCGCGAUACUGCCGCCAUCUCCGUCGGCGCCAUGUACGGCAUCACGUCCUCCGUGACACCCUUGUCGCCACCCUCGGGCCAGACACAGCUGAAGCCGUCAACACUGGCGUUGGCAUCGCACGCCUAUCAGCUCUACUGCCAUGCGUGGAAGCAUGUCGUCAAAACCGGCAUCACACCCUUGGUCGUUGCGGCCAACGCCUUUUGUGGUCCCAAAGCAGUCACGGGGCAAUCUCGGCUAAGCAACGGUGACGACAACAACGGUGGCGCCGCUGCCACCAGCGACAAAGACACGAGCUGGACCGAUGGCGUCGUCCCUCGCGUCUGUGCUGGGCUGCCUUUCUUCAAGGAGAUGCGCGAGGAGGCGCGGCGCACGGCACUGGGCUCUGCAAACAACGGUACCUACUACGAGGAUGCUUUUGGCAACCGUCUGCGCAGCGCACGGCUUGCCAAGAAGGAGCAGGAGCAGCGGGAGUUGCUGGUGGCGCGGCAGCGGCGGCGUGCAAAGAAGAAGGGCUACUUUCACCGCGACGACGACAACGACGGUCGCCUCGGCGGCAGGGCAGCCGGCAACGGGGCCUCGGCCAUGCUGGAAGCGAUGCUGCGAUCAUCCGCGACGUGGGGCAGCGAAAGGCAAGGCGCCGGGUGCGGCAAGAAGCGUCAGCGCGGCAGCGGCGACGACGCCAGUGAGGGCGAAGGCGUAGUGCAAGACACACAACCUCGCGGCAGCAGCCGAUGUGCAGCCGCCCGCCGGGCCCUCCAACUCCGCUCACGCGCAUCCUCAUCGUACUCCUCAUCCUCAAAGCCCAGCUCGCGCUGCAGCAGCAGCAGCAGCACUGCAUCGAUGGUAUCAGCGGAAAACGACCAAGACGAGGCAGGGGCGAAGGACGAGCUGACAAACAUCGCUGUCGUCUCUGGUCCGACAGGCUCUGGCAAAACCGCCGCCGUUUACGUGGCCGCGCAGCUGCUCGGCUUUCACGUGGUGGAGAUGAACGCGUCGGUGCGGCGCUGCUCAAAGACGGUGGAGCAUCUGCUUGCAGAGCUCACGCGCAGCUACCGGCUUAGCAGCCUACGGCCCGGCACAACAGGAAGCUUUAAUGCAGAGGAAGAGCUGGCGAAGUUGAAGCAGCAGCACGCCGUCAUGGUGGAGCGGGCCAGGGCUGAGGCAGAGGCCGCCGAAAGGAAAGCGGAGCUCAAGAGGCGCGAGGCGCUGAAGGUAAACGGCAUCUCAGCCCAGGCAGUCGCAAAUUUUUUCGCCAAGGGCUGCGGCCGCGCCGCAGUAUCGAGCAGCAAGACAGUCAAAGGUAUCAAGGGAAAGGACGCAGCCAAGCAGGUCUCGGAUGCGGAUAUGGUGACCGAGGCGCCUGCCCCAGCCGCCGCUGCGACCUCGUCGUCACCACCACCGGCCGCCACAGCCCCAGGGACUCCUGUCGACGCCGGCACCUUGCUUCUCUUCGAGGAUGCCGAUGUUCUCCUCGGCGAUGAGUCUGCCAAGCCUUUUUACGCAGCCAUCCGUGACCUCGCGCGCCGCAGCAAGGUGCCCAUCGUUGUAACCGUCUCCUCCGACCCAGCGGCUGCACAGCGCUACGACACCGAGCCCUUCCUCGCCCUCCUAGACGGGCAGCUGCAGCAGCGACACACAAGCUCGGCCUCGCCAACAUCUGCCAUACAGCCUACGUACUGGCAGCUGUGUGAUGCAGCGGGGCUGAACUCGAUAAUGGCCACGAUGGAGGCGGCACAUCAAGCGCUGCAGGUGGAGGCGGACCUAGGCAACCGCGGCGCUUCGACAGCAACAGCGACCACGAUCACGGCCGCCGCACACGAGAGCAACAGAAGCCCUUCUGCGGUGGGCGACAGUGGCGGAAGCACGGGUAUGGCGCCGGUGUGUGGCUCUCCUGCGGCCUCGUUCCUCCCACUCUUCUCCUCUUCCGGUGGAGGCGGCACGUCCGGUAGCGCAGCGCCGGCCGCAUGCGCAUGGACGAACGGGGCAAGCGCCGGUGUCUCCACUACCAGCGCUUCCGGUGGAGGCGGCGGGCCCGGCGGCACCAGCACCGCCACCCCAGCCGCUGCUGCCGCGGUGGCUGCACGCUACACGCGCAUGCUGCUCAACGCCACACUCGUGUCGAGCUUCUUUGGCUCCCAGACGCCCUUCACUGUGGUCGACCCGCUCCCGCCCUCUGCCUUGUACGCGCAACUCCUGGCGGUGGGGGCAGUGGAGCUGGACUUGUUGCGGUUGGACGAACCGGCCACGUCUCCCGGCGUCAGCGACAGUGCUGCGUCGCUGUCGUCGUCCUCGUCUCAGCAGGAGCUGGAGCGCAUGGCGGCCCGACUCACCGUAUGUGACACAGGCCUAUUUCGUCGGCUUGCGGAGCACCUCCGCCAUCACAUCUUUGGUGCCUGGGACAUCGCCGACGAUGAAGCUGGCGCGCAUGUGGCUCCCCCGCUCCUGCCGGGGCACAACUUGGUGAAUGCUGUGCAGUGCGACGCGGCCCGCCGCACGACGACAGACGUGCGCUACUGGCUGAACAAGCUGCAGGUGCUGCUCCUCUCACUGCGAGAAGGCAGCAACACAGCGCGGAUGCCCAAAGCGGCGGAGGCCGCGACGUCGUCGGAGUCGGUCACGCGAAAGCGGUCGCGAGAGAGGAUGAAAGCGACGCCGUUCGAGACCACAUCAGCCGCAUACGGGGGCGAUAAUGCGAUGUGCGAUGCGAAGGUGAUCGGCGCUCGGCGCGCCGAGCAUCUUGUAGAAGCAGAGUUUCGGCGCCGCGUCAGCCUCGCCGCGAGUGAGUGGGACGCAGCCCUGGGUCGACAUCUCUCCAAUGUGGCUCACAAUGAGCAGCACAGCACUCGCUACGAGCGCUGGUUCUUGGACGCCCACGUGUGCUACAUCGCGGACAUUGUAGAGGAGUUGGCCACGACCGAUCAUCCCACCGCGCGCGUGGACUACACAACGCCCUUGCAGGCGCCGGCGCGGUGCGGACGUUCGCCGUCGUCGUCGUCGUCGUCCGGAAAGAAGCUCGCUCGCGCAAACAAGUCCGAGAGAAAGGCUGCUGCAGCUCCAGAGCCGACCUACCACCCACGCGAGGAGGCCAGCGCAUGUUUAACUCGAUGCACCAGUGGCAGCAGUGGUGAUGGCGGUGGCGUAAACUCUGCGUGGCGGUCUUUCUUUGCAGCCUCUGGUGCGAGCGUGGCGUCCACACUAUCGACGGCGUCGCCUGUCGUGCGUGGCGUCUCACCGGCAGAUCGGCGCCAGCAAACGCUCUUAGGCUGCGGCGGCUCCAAGGCGGGCGGCGUGGUAGUCGGCGCGCCGCCGCCUCCGUCGUUGACCAUACCCGUUCGGUGCGAGUGGCCGCCAAGCGCGCUUGAGCUGCGCAGGCAGGCAUGCAGCCACGCACAUCUGCGUCCGGUGGAGCUGUUGCUACCCUAUGGCGCGGCAGAGGCUUACUACGGCACCGCAGCGGCAUCCGCAUCGACGCUGGCGCCCUUCAGCAUCCACGACAUGGCGGAGCCGACCGCGGCACUGCUCGGUCGCGAAAUCCCUCUUCGAUUUCUGAUGCGUCGCUCCGUGCGGGAUUCCUCAACGGGUGAUAAUGGGAAGGCGGAAGGAGAUGUGGGCCGCGAGUUCCCCGCCGGCGUGCGCACGACACAAGAGGAGCGUUUUCGCGUGUUCCGGAGGUGGUGGUGCCGCACCCGCAAGGCCGGCGCAUUGCGUGACAGCGUCGCUGGACGCUCCGCGGAGACGCUGGAGGAUAUCGUCGGCUUUGGUUGCCUGCUCACCCCGCCAGCAGCCGAAACGCGCAAUGCCACUAGCGGAAGCCCAUGAGCCCUGCUGCUUUGCAGCGACUCGCCUACUUCAAUGGUCCACGCACGCACGCACACACACGCACACACAGGCAUGCACGCAUAGACACAACAUGCCCAUGCGACUUCGUUUCUUUUACACCUGUGCUUACCCCCGUUGCCAAUGCACCACAAUGCGAAGUCGUCUGGCGUGUCUUCCUCCGGUACCGCGCAUAGACGGAAAAACGGAACGGCCGACGAAAUACAUAUAAAUGCACGGAAGAA
rnacentral:misc_RNA from 1 species